UUCUUGUUGGAUAAUGACUGUGUCAUGUGUCAUGUUCUGAUUGGAUGUCAACUUCAUGAAAGAUGAAAUGAAUUUUUGUUUUCAUUGACCAAUCAGAACAUGACACGCGACAGUUAUCAUUC
rfam:Glycine soja cultivar W05 scaffold209_82, whole genome shotgun sequence.